UUAGCCAUGCUAGUUGCACGAGUUCAUACUCGUGGCGAAAAGCUCAGUAACACGUGGCCAAACUACCCUACAGAGAACGAUAACCUCGGGAAACUGAGGCUAAUAGUUCAUACGGGAGUCAUGCUGGAAUGCCGACUCCCCGAAACGCUCAGGCGCUGUAGGAUGUGGCUGCGGCCGAUUAGGUAGACGGUGGGGUAACGGCCCACCGUGCCGAUAAUCGGUACGGGUUGUGAGAGCAAGAGCCCGGAGACGGAAUCUGAGACAAGAUUCCGGGCCCUACGGGGCGCAGCAGGCGCGAAACCUUUACACUGCACGCAAGUGCGAUAAGGGGACCCCAAGUGCGAGGGCAUAUAGUCCUCGCUUUUCACGACUGUAAGGCGGUCGUGGAAUAAGAGCUGGGCAAGACCGGUGCCAGCCGCCGCGGUAAUACCGGCAGCUCAAGUGAUGACCGAUAUUAUUGGGCCUAAAGCGUCCGUAGCCGGCCACGAAGGUUCAUCGGGAAAUCCGCCAGCUCAACUGGCGGGCGUCCGGUGAAAACCACGUGGCUUGGGACCGGAAGGCUCGAGGGGUACGUCCGGGGUAGGAGUGAAAUCCCGUAAUCCUGGACGGACCACCGAUGGCGAAAGCACCUCGAGAAGACGGAUCCGACGGUGAGGGACGAAAGCUAGGGUCUCGAACCGGAUUAGAUACCCGGGUAGUCCUAGCUGUAAACGAUGCUCGCUAGGUGUGACACAGGCUACGAGCCUGUGUUGUGCCGUAGGGAAGCCGAGAAGCGAGCCGCCUGGGAAGUACGUCCGCAAGGAUGAAACUUAAAGGAAUUGGCGGGGAGCACUACAACCGGAGGAGCCUGCGGUUUAAUUGGACUCACGCCGGACAUCUCACCAGCUC
rnacentral:rRNA from 1 species